AACGAACGCUGGCGGCGUGGAUUAGGCAUGCAAGCCGAACGAGGCUUUAGCUUUUUCGAAGCUUAGUGGCGAAAGGGUGAGUAACACGUGGGUUACCUGCCCUAGGGAUCGGGAUAACCUGUCGAAAGACGGGCUAAUACCGGAUACGUUUCCAUAUUUUAAUGAUGUGGAAGGAAAGAUGGGGAUUCGCAAGAACCUAUCACCCUUGGAGGGGCCCGGCGGCCUAUCAGCUAGUUGGUAGGGUAAUGGCCUACCAAGGCUAAGACGGUAGCUGGUCUGAGAGGAUGGUCAGCCACACUGGGACUGAGACACUGCCCAGACUCCUACGGGAGGCUGCAGUCGAGAAUCUUUCGCAAUGGGGGAACCCUAGACGAAGCGACGCCGCGUGCAGGAUGAAGGUCUUCGGAUUGUAAACUGCUGUCAGCUGGGAAAGAAAAAAUCUGCUGUGAAAUAAUAGCAGAUCUUGACGGUACCAGCAGAGGAAGCCUACGGCUAA
rnacentral:rRNA from 1 species